rnacentral:rRNA from 1 species
GACGAACGCUGGCGGCGUGCCUAAUACAUGCAAGUCGAACGCUGAAGGAGGAGCUUGCUUCUCUGGAUGAGUUGCGAACGGGUGAGUAACGCGUAGGUAACCUGCCUGUUAGCGGGGGAUAACUAUUGGAAACGAUAGCUAAUACCGCAUAAGAGUAGAUGUUGCAUGACAUUUACUUAAAAGGUGCAAUUGCAUCACUACCAGAUGGACCUGCGUUGUAUUAGCUAGUUGGUGAGGUAACGGCUCACCAAGGCAACGAUACAUAGCCGACCUGAGAGGGUGAUCGGCCAAACUGGGACUGAGACACGGCCCAGACUCCUGAGGGAGGCAGCAGUAGGGAAUCUUCGGCAAUGGACGGAAGUCUGACCGAGCAACGCCGCGUGAGUGAAGAAGGUUUUCGGAUCGUAAAGCUCUGUUGUAAGAGAAGAACGAGUGUGAGAGUGGAAAGUUCACACUGUGACGGUAUCUUACCAGAAAGGGACGGCUAACUACGUG